AUUAAAAUUACGAAGAUGGCCCUGAUCCUGCCACGCAGGCGCCCCAUAAGGGCCACGCGGGCAGGGCUGGGGCCAGGAUAUUAGGUUGAACACGGUGAAUCAUUCACCAUAUUUAAACACGAUGAAUGGUUCACCGUGUUUAGUAUGGUUCACCGUGUUUAGUACGUAUUUUUGUAUAUUGAAAAGAGGAAUAGGAAGUAGGGAUGUCAAUAGGUAUGGAUAUCCGAAAUAUUAUUCGAAUCUAAACCCGAAUAAAUUAUAUAUAUA
rnacentral:lncRNA from 1 species